GGCGAGCUUGAAAUAGAUGGGUCUGGUUGAGGCUGCGUUCUAUUUGGCUGCUUCAGGCUCCUUGCUCACGACCUCUUGAGCCCCACAGGAAGCCAUGGAGCGGAGGCGAGGGAAGCGAAGGAGCUAAUCGCAAACACAAGCAAAAGAUGGAUUACACCCCCGAUUGGUCGCCAUCCAGUCAGAGCAUAGAGGAAAAAGAUGUUUGAGAAGACUGGAUUUUUCAAGAAAAUGGGUGCACGUUCGGGGAGCCUUGCCCGGAAGCUUCCUUCAGCAGCCCCAAAGUAAACCCUGCUUUAAAAG